CAUCUCCGAGGCAACUAAUAAAAUACCGAGUCCUCAGCCUGGCAUUCAAGGCCCUCCACGGGGUACGGGCAGAACACUCAUCUGAUUGGUCGAUAUUGAGCCUGGAAUUAGAAGAAUGAAACAACAAGUCCAAUCCAGCUGGGCAAAUUCCAAAAUCAGCAGACAGUGUUCUUGUAGUGAAGCCACCAUUCUUGUCUGAGGCCAGAAAGAGACCCAAGUCUAGUGGUGAGAGACUCUCAGCCUACAGAGAAUCAUGGGUCAGACUAAAUCCAAGAAGUCUUCAUUAAGGAUUAGACCAAAAUGGCAUCAAGGUCAAGUGCCACACUGACGGUCAUCCAAAAUGACAUUUGAGACCUACUUCCCAGGAAGGGACAAGUUCAUGAGAGAGAGAAAUCAAGUUGAAUGGCAUUUGUGCAAACCAUUUAGAGGUUGGAAUCAGACUCUAAUUACUAUCUGUGGACCUUUCAGAUGGGCCUGUGGGUCAGGGUCAACGACUGCCAUAAAAAGUGUAAGAGAAAUAGCCCAAGAUGGGGCAAAAGGGGGAAGAGAUGGAGGAGGGUGAGAGGUUAUUCUAAGAUGCCACCAGAAAUCCCGUGCUCCCAGAGCAGGCUUGGCACUGAAUAACACAGUAUCAUUGAAUCUCGCAGCUGGGAGGGUCUUCAGAGGUCAUCUGGUCAAGCUGUACCUGAGCAGGCCUCCCACCUACUACAUCCUUGGAAAGUACUUACCCUAAAUCUGCUGGGAGAUCUCCAGUGAAGGGGAACCUCCAUCAAUGUUCCUGGGACAGCACAGUCCUCUGAAUGACGCUGAAUUGUUAAGAAAGCUUCUUGUUUGUUUGUUUGCUUUAUGUGAACCUAAAAUCUGCCUCUGAAACUUCAUCACAAUGUUCCUAGCUCUUCCCUCAAGGACCAGGGUGAACAAAGCUAGUUCUUUUCCCAUGUGAUAGACACUCCUUCAGAUAUUUGAAGCCAGCCAUCUAGUCCCCUCUAAGUCUUUCCUCCUCUGAGCUAAAUGCUCACAGCUCCUUUGACCACUCCUAAUUUGUCUUGAGCUUCCAGAUCCUUCACCAUCCUAAUCCCCUUACUAUGCAGGUACUUCAGCUAUUCAACAUCCAUCCUAAAAUCUGGA